rnacentral:misc_RNA from 1 species
GAUCAUUCGAUUAGUUUAAACCUCAACUGGUUGACAACAGAUACUACAUUACAAAGCUAUUCCUAUACUAGGGAGACCAGAUACACGCAUGCACAGAGGUCCACCAUAAUAUGACAAGUGCCCUAUACUCAGGAAAUGGUUUACAUAUAUGGCAAUUUAGGACAAGUGUCCUAGAACAAAAACUCUGUAUCAGAGACUUCAAGCACCUUGUGCGUGCCUUUUGGCUUGGCCCCGGGCUUGAAUUGGUUAGCCUCGAUGUACAGUUCUUUCAGGAAUGGGUGCUUAUACAACCCUUCAGGAAUCCUCCCAAUGAACCCAUUGUGAUCCACGUAUAAAUAGGUUAGUCUUGGGAUUGUAACGAGUUUUUG